rnacentral:rRNA from 1 species
GGAUUAGAUACCCUGGUAGUCCUAACCGUAAACGGUGAGCACUAUAUGAUGGAUGGUUCUGACUGUUCAUUGUAGUAGCUAAUGCGUUAAGUGCUCCGCCUGGGUAGUACGAUCGCAAGGUUGAAACUCAAAGGAAUUGACGGGGGCUCACACAAGCGGUGGAGCAUGUUGCUUAAUUCGAAGCAACGCGAAGAACCUUACCUGGGCUUGAACUGUAGGGAUUAUCUCUAUGAAAGUAGAGUACGCCAACCGGUGGAACCUAUAGAGGUGUUGCAUGGCUGUCGUCAGCUCGUGCCG